rnacentral:rRNA from 1 species
UGUGCCUACGGGGGGCAGCAGUGGGGGAUAUUGCACAAUGGGGGAAACCCUGAUGCAGCGACGCCGCGUGGGCGAAGAAGUAUUUCGGUAUGUAAAGCCCUAUCAGCAGGGAAGAAGAAAUGACGGUACCUGAGUAAGAAGCACCGGCUAAAUACGUGCCAGCAGCCGCGGUAAUACGUAUGGUGCAAGCGUUAUCCGGAUUUACUGGGUGUAAAGAGAGCGCAGGCGGCACGGCAAGCCUGAUGUGAAAGCCCGCGGCCCAACCCGUGAACUGCAUUUGAAACUGUUUCCCUUGAGUGUCGGAG